rnacentral:ncRNA from 1 species
AUGAUAAGGUUGAAUACAGCCUUUUUGUAGAAGCGAACCUUCUGCAAUAAACCAUCAAAUUGCGGGAAACCCCUAAAGCAAUCAUAACCAAGUAAGAAUAGUAAUAUAUCUUAUGGCUCAGGCAAUGACUCGAGGUAAGGUAAAAUCAUGAUUGAUGUACGAAAGUUAAAUGGGCAAUCCGCAGCCAAGCACCGACUGCUUAAGAUAAGUAAAGGUGUGCAGUUCAUCGACUAAAUGUUGGUUGGCGCAAGCUUAAGAUAUAGUCAGGCCUCAUUCGAAAGAAUGCA